CCUACGGGAGGCAGCAGUGGGGAAUUUUGGACAAUGGGCGAAAGCCUGAUCCAGCAAUGCCGCGUGUGGGAAGAAGGCCUUCGGGUUGUAAACCACUUUUGUACGGAACGAAACGGCUCGCUUUAAUACAGUGGGCUAAUGACGGUACCGUAAGAAUAAGCACCGGCUAACUACGUGCCAGCAGCCGCGGUAAUACAUAGGGUGCGAGCGUUAAUCGGAAUUACUGGGCGUAAAGCGUGCGCAGGCGGUUAUAUAAGACAGUUGUGAAAUCCCCGGGCUCAACCUGGGAAUUGCAUCUGUGACUGUAUAGCUAGAGUACGGUAGAGGGGGAUGGAAUUCCGCGUGUAGCAGUGAAAUGCGUAGAUAUGCGGAGGAACACCGAUGGCGAAGGCAAUCCCCUGGACCUGUACUGACGCUCAUGCACGAAAGCGUGGGGAGCAAACAGGAUUAGAUACCCUGGUAGUCCACGCCCUAAACGAUGUCAACUGGUUGUUGGGUGCAUUAGUACUCAGUAACGAAGCUAACGCGUGAAGUUGACCGCCUGGGGAGUACGGCCGCAAGGUUGAAACUCAAAGGAUUGACGGCUGAGAGNGCGAGACGACGACGAGGGAGGAGG
rnacentral:rRNA from 1 species